UGCUAGAUUCGAAAGGGUCAGCCCGACGAGACGCGCCGUACCGGGAUCCCCGACCCUCAGGAAAAGCACCAGAGGAAAAGCACCAGGAAAAGACGACGCACC
rnacentral:ncRNA from 1 species